rnacentral:rRNA from 1 species
AGCAGCCGCGGUAAUUCCAGCUCCAAUAGCGUAUAUUAAAGUUGUUGCAGUUAAAAAGCUCGUAGUUGAAUUUCGGGAUUUGUCAGUUGGUCGGGCUUAACUGUCCGUAUUGACUCGAUGGAUUCUUACCUUCUGAAUAACCAGCAUGCUAUUAAGUUAGUGCGUUGGGGAAGCAGAUCUAUUACCUUGAAAAAAUUAGAGUGCUUAAAGCGAGCUAGUGCUUGAAUAGAUUAGCAUGGAAUAAUAAAAUAGGACGGCAUGGUUCUAUUUUGUUGGUUUCUAGGAUCACCGUAAUGAUUAAUAGGGAUAGUUGGGGGCAUUAGUAUUCAAUUGUCAGAGGUGAAAUUCUUGGAUUUAUUGAAGACUAACUUCUGCGAAAGCAUUUUGCCAAGGAUGUUUUCAUUAAUCAAGAACGAAAGUUAGGGGAUCGAAGACGAUCAGAUACCGUCGUAGUCUUAACCAUAAACUAUGCCGACUAGGAAUCGGACGAUGUUAAUUUUAUAAUGACUCG